rnacentral:pre_miRNA from 1 species
UCUUAUGGAUGAACAAAGCAAGUGGUUUCUUGAUAAGGAAUCUUCUCCUGGGGAAGAUGUUGAGAA